rnacentral:rRNA from 1 species
UACGUAGGUGGCAAGCGUUGUUCGGAAUUAUUGGGCGUAAAGGGCGCGUAGGCGGUUUGUUAAGUCGGCUGUGAAAGCCCGGGGCUCAACCCCGGAGGGUCAGCCGAUACUGGCAGGCUAGAGUACGGAAUAGGUAGCUGGAAUUCCCGGUGUAGCGGUGAAAUGCGUAGAUAUCGGGAGGAAUACCGAUGGCGAAGGCAGGUCUCUGGGCUAUAACUGACGCUCAUGCACGAAAGCGUGGGGAGCAAACAGG